AGAAUGGGACGUGGGCGGCAGAGAAGGUGAUCCAGGUGCCCAAGAAGAAGGUGAAAGGAUGGCUUCUCGAAGACAUGCCAGGUCUCAUCACAGACAUCCUGAUCUCUCUGGACGACAAGUAUUUAUAUUUCAGCAACUGGAUCCAUGGAGACAUUCGGCAGUAUGAUAUCAGCAACCCCCAGAAGCCCAAACUUGUGGGCCAGGUUUUUUUGGGGGGCAGCAUCGUAAAAGGGGGGCCGGUCACCGUGACUCAGGAUGAGGAGUUGGAAUGCCAGCCGGAGCCCUUUGUGAUCAAGG